AAGAAACCCGCUCUAAUAUUUUCCCACAAUAUUAUGUAUUCACUUCUUCAAGACUCCAACUGCUCAUCCUGUCAAAAUAAAAAAAGCUUCAACUGCUCAUCUCCUCAACUCACACCCUCUCCGGUCCGCCCUCCUCUUUUUCUUUCUUCCGAUGACUGGUUGGCACUUCCGACGACAUCCCGACGUUUCUCAAGUGGUGAGGUAGGUGGCGGCUGGAGUUCAGCGGCGAGGCUAGCAGCAAGUUCGGCCACAAGAUGAAUAAGCCACUCGUUCUUCCAACACGAUCUUAAAGGAUCAUCCAAACCUAUUGAAGUGGAACAGGAACCAUACUAUGUCAGAUUAUUUGAGAAGACUAAAAAAUAAGGAACAAUGGGUCGUGACCAUCUUCCCAAAUUAGCAAAGGAAACCAUAUGAAGUAUGACAAGGCUUGGAUUAUGUGAAUUUCUUUGUAGAUUAUGGGUAGUGCUAAUUAGUUUUUUUUUAGAUUUCCUUUGAAUUUUGUAAGACAUUUAAGUUACAUAGGAUGUCGAAUUUGAAGAUUAUUUUGUACUCCACCGGUUGUCUACAAUUUGCUAUUCCAUGAAUACUUCUUCUAUUAUAUCAUACUUUUGUUUUUAAUAAGUUUA